AGGUCCUUCCUGGGUACUGGAAUGCCAAAGAUGUUGAAGGCGUUAUCUCUGCCCUUGAGAGUGUCAGAGUCCAGUGGCCUAAGAAAGACUCAUAAGCAGAUAGUUGAGUAAAGCAAGAUCGAUGCUGGAUACGGAAAUUUCCCUGUACAUCCAGUGUAUCAAUUUCACAGGGAGGAGAGCCGAGAAGAAAACGAGUUUGUGUUUGUUGAUUUCCUACUACGUGCAGGGAACUACAGCAGGUGUUUUACUUGUGUUCUUUAGUUUGGUUCUCACAGCCAACAGUUUUCAGGUUCAUGGGCAGCUGAGUUAGAAGACAGGAACUCAGAUAAAAGCUGGAGAAUUUGGGGCACCUGGCUCAGCUGAUUAAGCGUUCAAAUCUUGGUU